GACGAACGCUGGCGGCGUGCUUAACACAUGCAAGUCGAGCGGUAAGGCUCCUUCGGGAGUACACGAGCGGCGAACGGGUGAGUAACACGUGAGCAAUCUGCCCUUCUCAUCGGAAUAACCAUUGGAAACGAUGGCUAAUGCCGAAUAUGACCUCGGAUCACAUGUUCUGAGGUGGAAAGCUCCGGCGGAGAAGGAUGAGCUCGCGGCCUAUCAGCUGUUGGUGAGGUAAUGGCUCACCAAGGCAUUGACGGGUAGCCGGCCUGAGAGGGUGACCGGCCACACUGGGACUGAGACACGGCCCAGACUCCUACGGGAGGCAGCAGUGGGGAAUAUUGGACAAUGGGGAAACCCUGAUCCAGCAAUGCCGCGUGAAUGAUGAAGGCCUUAGGGUUGUAAAGUUCUUUCACCUGUGACGAUAAUGACGGUAGCAGGAUAAGAAGCCCCGGCUAACUCCGUGCCAGCAGCCGCAGUAAC
rnacentral:rRNA from 1 species